rnacentral:lncRNA from 10 species
AGGGCGCGCAGGCGGCGCGGGUGCGCGGUGCGGCGCUGGUAUCCAGAGGACGCGGUCACCGCCUCUGGCAUUUGUCGUUCUGCGCUUCUCCGCAAGGACCCUCUGUUAGGCAGGCGCCCACCGUAAGCCUCCCGGGCCUUGUGAACCUGCAAACCCAAGUCUGAGAGACGAUCCGCCUUCAGCGCUUUCCAGCUUGGCAGAGAGGCUUUCCCGGCGGGGAUCUUUGGUUGGCGCUGGCGAUGCGCGGGGAAGAAAGGCGAGGAGCGGCGUCCAGGCUGGGUGAUGUCCCAGCACGAGUAGGCGGGAUGCGCUCGCUUGGUCCUCCGGGCGCCCGGUCCCUGCCCGCGUCGCGCGCCCACCCCUGGGGACGAGAAGGCGGCCGCCUGAGGACCCCCGCCCGCGACCUCCGCGAGUCUGGAGCGCAGAGGACAGGGUCUGGCUGCUCUUUGGCCUUGGAUGGAAAGUGGGGAAUUGGGUGGGGGGCUGCGGACCCCUUAACGUGGAUUACUUGGUGUGUAUCAGCUGGGCUCAGAAGACCCACGACCUCUUCUCCAUCCGUGGAUUGAUUUGUUCUGCUUAACAGCUGGGUCGCCAAGCUGGAGGUAUUUUUCCCUCUCCACCCUGGUCUUCUCCUGUAACGUGUGGCCGCCUUUUCCAGCACGGCCUCCUGCCUUCCUGGUGCACUUUUUGGAGAACGUGGUGGAAUCAGAGGUUUCUGGCUGACUCGGUGGGUGCUUUGAACCAGGAAAGGACAAGAAAGAGGCUGGAGUGCAGUGGCGUGAUCAUGGCUCACUGCAGCCUCAACUUCUUGGCCUCUAGCGAUCCUCCCACCUCAGCCUCCUCAGUAGCUGGGACUACAGGCAGGUGCCACUACACCUGGCUAAUUAAAUUUUUUUUUUUUUUUUUUACAGACCAGAUUUCGCCAUAUUGCUCAGGAUGGUCUUGAACUCCUGGGCUCAAGUGAUCCGCCUGCCUUGGCCUCCCAGAAUGCCAGGAUUACAGAUGUGAGCCACUGUGCCUGGCCUGAAGUCUAGUAAUUUUUAAAACUUUGCAUGUUAUUCUGCUCAUGAGCCAAGUUCGGGUGCCUGUGGAACAGCUAUAUUCCUCAAACUAGAUAUGCACCCCAGUCCCUGGGGAUUCUGUCAAAAGGCAGAUUCACAUUCAGCAGGUCUAGGGUGGGGGGCCUGACAUUCGGCACGUCUCACAAGCUCCCAGGCGAUGCUGAUGGUGCUGGUCCCUGGACGCCCUCUUGAGUAGUAAGGAACAAAAGGACUCUCCCCUGUUCUUUUCAGCUACGUAGCCCAGUGGUUCUCCACUUAGGCUUCACACUGGAAUCAUCCAGGGAGUUUUAAACUAUAGUGAUGCCUGGCGGUGUCUUACUCGCAGAGCUUCUGGUUUGAUUGGUCUAGGUUGCAGCCUGGGCAAGGAGAUUUAAAAACUUCUCAGAUGGGCCAGGCAUGGUGGCUCAAGCCUGUAAUCCCAGCACUUUGGGAGGCAGAGGUGGGCGGAUCACGAGGUCAGGAGAUCGAGACCAUCCUGGCUAGCACGGCGAAACCCUGUCUCUACUAAAAAUACAAAAAAUUAGCUGGGUGUGGUGGCGUGUGCCUGUGGUCCCAGCUGCUCGGGAGGCUGAGGCAGAAGAAUGGCCUGAACCCGGGAGGCGGAGCUUGCAGACAGCCGAUCGUGCCACUGCACUCCAGCCUGGGCGACAGAGCGAGACUCCGUCUCAAAAAAAAAAAAAAAAAAA